rnacentral:lncRNA from 1 species
GGCCAAAGUACUGGAGUUUCAGCUUUAGCAUCAUUCCUUCCAAAGAACACCCAGGACUGAUCUCUAGAAUGGACUGGUUGGAUCUCCCUGCAGUCCAAGGGACUCUCAAGAGUCUUCUCCAACACCACAGUUCAAAAGCAUCAAUUCUUCAGUGCUCAGCUUUCUUCACUGUCCAACACUCACAUCCAUACAUGACCUUGGUCAAGUCCUAACUUCCUUGAGCUUCAGCUCUCUUUAUAAAAUGAAGGGGUGAAAGGGGAAGAGUCCAGAUGGAGGAGAGGGAGCACAUGGAGUCAACAUCUCUGCACAGCCAAGACACUGCCAGAUGCUUGUGGGGACCUCAACACCCAGGCGGAUGGAAUGAAUCCCUGAGCAACAGGGCAGGACUUUGUGGGGAGGGAGGGGGAAGAAGGGGAGGCCGAAGGUGGUCAGCACCCCUGGGGGCAGCUGGAGGAGCGGAGGUAUCCAUACACCUGAAGAGGCACACUUACCUUGAGGGGCCAGUGGGGUCGGGAAGGGUAUGGGGGUUGGAGGACCAGAGAGGAACAUGGCUCACAUCCCCGCACCAACUUGGCCUGGGGGACCUGCUGAGGCCCUGCACCUGGUCCUCCACCUUCCAAGGCCCCCUCUGCUCACAGAGGAGGAAGAGACAAGCUGGAUGGGGAGGGACCCUCAGGGAACAGAUAUCAGAAGUUACUGGCAUUCCCCCAAGCAUUGAGCCCAGGGCAGCCUGCGGAGGCCCCAAGCCUGAUACUCCAAGGACAGAAGCAGUUUUUUGUUUUUGUUAUUGGGGUUCAGUUUUACCUUCCAGUUGUUUCAUAUAUAUAUUUUCUAAUGUUAACCUUCUCAAUUUAUUUGGUAUUCUUUGUUACUGCUAUUUAUUAUUAUUUUUGCCACACUGCACAACCUGCAGGAUCUUGGUUCUUAGGCCAGAGGUCAGGCCUGAGUUCCUGUACUGGGAGUGCCAAGUCCAAACUCCUGGAUUAACAGAAAACAUCAGCACCCAGGGGCUAUUAAUCAAAGUAAGGUCUCCUGGAGGUCCACGUCUCACACUAAGACCCAGCUCUACCCAACUGCCUGCAAUUCCCAGUGCUAGAAACUUCAGGCCAAACAACC